UACGUAGGGGGCAAGCGUUGUCCGGAAUCAUUGGGCGUAAAGAGCGCGUAGGCGGUCCGGUAAGUCCGCUGUGAAAGCCGGGGGCUCAACCCUCGAAUGCCGGUGGAUACUGUCGGGCUAGAGUCCGGAAGAGGCGAGUGGAAUUCCUGGUGUAGCGGUGAAAUGCGCAGAUAUCAGGAGGAACACCAAUGGCGAAGGCAGCUCGCUGGGACGGUACUGACGCUGAGGCGCGAAAGCGUGGGGAGCAAACAGG
rnacentral:rRNA from 1 species